rnacentral:rRNA from 1 species
GACGAACGCUGGCGGCGUGCUUAACACAUGCGAGUCGAACGGAAAGGCCCUGCUUGCAGGGUACUCGAGUGGCGAACGGGUGAGUAACACGUGGGUGAUCUGCCCUGCACUUCGGGAUAAGCUUGGGAAACUGGGUCUAAUACCGGAUAGGAGCCAUCUUUAGUGUGGUGGUUGGAAAGUUUUUUCGGUGUAGGAUGAGCUCGCGGCCUAUCAGCUUGUUGGUGGGGUAAUGGCCUACCAAGGCGGCGACGGGUAGCCGGCCUGAGAGGGUGUACGGCCACAUUGGGACUGAGAUACGGCCCAGACUCCUACGGGAGGCAGCAGUGGGGAAUAUUGCACAAUGGGCGCAAGCCUGAUGCAGCGACGCCGCGUGGGGGAUGAAGGCCUUCGGGUUGUAAACUCCUGUCGCUAGGGACGAAGCUUUUUUGUAACGGUACCUAGAGAAGAAGCACCGGCUAACUACGUG